rnacentral:lncRNA from 1 species
CCUGUGGUAGUCUUGGAAGCAGAACUCUAGCUGAACGCCCUUUCUGUAGUAAUAACUACAUUCAUGCAGGAAUAACUGUGGAAGCCCAGGUCAGCUGACAUCCCUGGUUCAGUCCUUUCCCAUCACCACCCUCUGCUGUGUCACCCCAGCUGGAGAUAUGCCAGGAGCUGGUGUGAGAGGCAUUAGCCUUGCUCCCGUGGCUGAGUUGGCUUUGGCCUCCAAGGCAGCUAGUGACUCCUGGAGCCCUGGAAAAGGUGAAGCUAAGCACUCAGAAUUUCCUGCUUCAGAACCUCGUAAGCUGACAAGUUCGAGAGACGGUCUCUAUGCGUUGGUAGUGAGAGAUGAAAGAGAUGCUUCAUCUCUACGUUCACACUGAAACCACCUCACAGGUUUGCCUGUCUGGAAAAGCCUCUGAAAGAAGUGAGGAGGGGCUAGCCUGGUUUUGCACAUUUACCAUUUGGUUAUUUUUGUUUGUUUGUUUGGUUGGUUUGGUUUUUGCUUUUGUUUAUUCAAGACAAGGUCUCUCUGUGUAGCCCUGGCUGUCCUGGAACUCACUCUGUAGACCAAGCUGGCCUUGAAUUCACAGAAUUCUGCCUGCCUCUGCCUCCCAAGUGCUGGGAUUAAAAGUGUACACCCCCA